GGGCAGUGAUGAGCUUAUUAAAUCUUAGUGCACCACAUUGAGACACCUUCAAAACCUUACUUGGCCAAAGGUGAUUUGGCCAAGUAUGAUCAUGUGAUCAUGUGAUUUCCUGCUUUGUCUGCAUCUCUAAUGGACUGAUGGAUAAAUAACAUUUUCUGCAGUGUGAUAACAAAAUGCCAGAGAUAAUGUAUCCUUAAAUGAGUAACAUUUCUUAUCCAAGAGCCAAGCACCGGAUCCCAGUGUACUAUCAGUCCUAAUAAUGAGUGAUUCUUGGUCAUGUUAUCUUCCCCCUCCGGUCUUCCCAUGGGCCCAGAGGAGAUGAUAAGGUGAUGUCAUACCUCCGCUUCCUGGGGAUAGUGGUUUGUGUUGCAGGGAACUUGGCUGCUGUCAGGCUAGGGGACUCCCAGAGGAAGCCAAUCCUUGUUCAGUUUACAGUGAAUGAUUCCCUUCCUGCCCUGCACAGCCCUGCAGGCCAGUGGCUAACCAGUAAUAUGGAACUUGUUGGAGCCAUGAAUCAGCUCCAGUCCUCCCCAACAUCUUUAACCACGUUCCAGCGUUUCCUCCAGGAUCUUUUUCCUGGCACGGCCUCUGAAACAGCAUUUCAGGCCAUGUUUUGUUUCAGCCGUUAUGCAUUAAGUAUGGAUUGUAUGAAUAAUGCUUCUAAAAACUUGACUGGGGUCUUUUUCUGCAUUGUGCUGGUGUCACCUGUAACAACUUCAUGUUUUAAUAGGAAAGUAGCAGCUUCAUUUAAACUGAGCAAAAUUGUUUUUCCUUAAAGCCUAAUUCGCCAAAUAAUAUUUGAAUGAUUGCAAACCAACCCAAAGUGUUGACGACCUGGCAACGAUACUCAACAAUCACCAAGCUUUCUCAAGAA